UUGCAAGGUUAUUAAGCCUAGUUAAUGUAAAUAUAAAUGUUGUGUCAUAUUUGUAUUUUAUAGCUUGCAAAUCCAUCAUAUUUCUUGCUUGGUUCAUAUCUCAAAAGGAAAAAUAAUUAACUCUAUAAUUAAGAAAGGUCUCACAAGGGACAUAAUUGCAAGAUAAUCAAUGAAAAUGCCACCAAGGAGCCAAAAGUGAAACCCAACUAAGCUUAUAUUUAUUUAUUUUACAUAUCAUAAAUCUUCCGUAUACACUAAAAUUGCACAAUUCAAAUUAGAAUUGAAAAAGUUUUGAAUUUUCAAAAACCUGU
rnacentral:lncRNA from 1 species